rnacentral:rRNA from 1 species
GAUGAACGCUGGCGGCGUGCCUAACACAUGCAAGUCGAGCGAACCCUUCGGGGUGAGCGGCGGACGGGUGAGUAACGCGUGGGUAACCUGCCCUGUACACACGGAUAACAUACCGAAAGGUAUGCUAAUACGAGAUAAUAUAUUUUAAUCGCAUGGUUAAGAUAUCAAAGCUCCGGCGGUACAGGAUGGACCCGCGUCUGAUUAGCUAGUUGGUGAGGUAAUGGCUCACCAAGGCGACGAUCAGUAGCCGACCUGAGAGGGUGAUCGGCCACACGGGAACUGAGACACGGUCCAGAGUCCUACGGGAGGCAGCAGUGGGGAAUAUUGCACAAUGGGCGAAAGCCUGAUGCAGCAACGCCGCGUGAGCGAUGAAGGCCUUCGGGUCGUAAAGCUCUGUCCUCAAGGAAGAUAAUGACGGUACUUGAGGAGGAAGCCCCGGCUAACUACGUGCCAGCAGCCGCCGUAA